rnacentral:sRNA from 1 species
GUGGUGAUAGUUCGGAUACUCUAUGGAUCGAUUAUAUGACUUGUAAUAGCUUAUAUGCACACUCAUAGGUUGUAUCGAAUCCUUUGCUUAAUCAAUAAAGUAUCCGAUUGUUUGUUUACUCUAUUCGUCUCAUAUAUGAAUCACGGAAUCAUAUGGAACGGAUUAGACUAGGAAAGAACCUCAUAAACGGUUAGGGCCGAGUCACUUAGUGGCUUGGGUCGAGAGAACUCGUCCGGACUUUAGGCAGUCCGGAUCGGGGCCUUUCAUUUUGCCUCCUUGUCAUGCACCU